rnacentral:rRNA from 1 species
UACGAAGGGGGCUAGCGUUGCUCGGAAUGACUGGGCGUAAAGCGUGCGCAGGCGGUUCGUUGUGUCGGCGGUGAAAGCCCCGGGCUCAACCUGGGAAUUGCGGUUGAAACUGGCGAACUAGAAUCUGGCAGAGGGGGGUGGAAUUCCACGUGUAGCAGUGAAAUGCGUAGAGAUGUGGAGGAACACCGAUGGCGAAGGCAGCCCCCUGGGCUGAGAUUGACGCUCAGGCACGAAAGCGUGGGGAGCAAACAGG